UUCGCAAUGCCCGAAAGGGUGACGAAGCGACGCCGCGUGUGGGAAGAAGGCCUUCGGGUUGUAAACCACUGUCAGGAGUUAGGAAAUGCAAGGGUGUUAAUAGCGCCUUUGCUUGACUAAGGCUCCAGAGGAAGCCACGGCUAACUCUGUGCCAGCAGCCGCGGUAAUACAGAGGCGGCAAGCGUUGUUCGGAAUUAUUGGGCGUAAAGAGCACGUAGGCGGCCUUGCGAGUCAGUUGUGAAAGCCUUCCGCUCAACGGAAGAAUGCCAGCUGAUACUACAGGGCUUGAGUACGGGAGGGGAGAGUGGAACUUCUGGUGGAGCGGUGAAAUGCGUAGAUAUCAGAAGGAACGCCGGCGGCGAAAGCGACUCUCUGGCCCGAAACUGACGUUGAGUGUGCGAAAGCUAGGGGAGCAAACGGGAUUAGAUACCCCGGUAGUCCUAGCCGUAAACGAUGGGCACUAAGUAGAGGGGUUUU
rnacentral:rRNA from 1 species